UACAGAGGGGGCAAGCGUUGUUCGGAAUUACUGGGCGUAAAGGGCGCGUAGGCGGCCUCUUAAGUCGAACGUGAAAUCCCCGGGCUCAACCCGGGAACUGCGUCCGAUACUGGGAGGCUUGAAUCCGGGAGAGGGAUGCGGAAUUCCAGGUGUAGCGGUGAAAUGCGUAGAUAUCUGGAGGAACACCGGUGGCGAAGGCGGCAUCCUGGACCGGCAUUGACGCUGAGGCGCGAAAGCCAGGGGAGCAAACGGG
rnacentral:rRNA from 1 species